AUGGCGGCAGUCCUACUUUGCCGGUCGUGCUCAAAGCCUGUCACAGGCGCGCUCUGCCAGCCGUGCGCGCGCUCUCAGCCCGUCCCAGACGCGCGGGCGUGCGCUGGUUCACGGCCUGACGCCCACGCCUUCCCCCUCGCGUCCCCGCCACCACCCCCUCCGAUGACCGCCAAGGAGGAGGUGAAGCUCAUGAGGUGGGUGAUGGAGGACUCCGUCCGCACCCACGACGAAGCCCAAUGGGAGGGACUCGAAGAGAUGAUGGCCCUCUCCGCGGCCAGCGACGUCGCCAUCCCGGAGCUCGACGCCGUGGUAAAGGAGGAGGCCAUGGAGGACGUGCAGGAGGAGGUGCUGGAGGAGCCCGCGGCAUGGAACCCGGCCUUGGUCGGCCAGUCCUGCUUGUGGACGGAGACGGUGUCGUGCACGCCGGAGUACGUGUCCGUGCCACCCGUGUGGGUGGUCGCCAACACGUGGUCACCGUCGCCGCCACGGCUAGAGGUUGUGCGGGCGCCUCUCGCAGCCAACUGCACCUGGCAGGGACCGCCAGCCACCUAUGGACGCCACCGCCCUACAUCGACCUCACGGGCGACAAGGAUGACGACAACGACGACGGUCGCGGCGGCGACGACCCUUAUCUAA
rnacentral:rRNA from 1 species